rnacentral:lncRNA from 1 species
CUUUUUUCCACUCUAAUCUGUCCCAUAAGUUGUUUCCCCACAUGAGUACGUACAGAAUUAUCUCAUUCACUGAACAAUGGCAACGGGCUCCUUUGUGUGAAUUGAACACGCUUUGUUUAGCGGGUCCCUGGUCAUUUGGGUUGUUUUCUUCUUUCUAGUGAGGAGAUUCCUUUCAUGAACCUUGUGGUCUGGAGUAAAAGAAGAGACCUACAUUCCUCUCUUAAGACCCUGUACCUUUGCUCCUAAGCAUGAAGAUGGGCUUCUGACCAAGUCCUGCUAGAGGACACUGAAAGGGCAAGCCUUGGGCUUUAACCAGGCAAUGGAAAAUUUAAAUUGGGCUCCAGAGAAGAGACAUUGAGACUGAUACUUCCAGCACUGAGGAUCUACCUCUAGAAGUCUAGCUCAGAACUUGGCCUCCGGCCUGGGCACUGCCUCAUACCUGCCAGAAUUGAUCUCAAUGGAGCUGCACAAUGAGAGGUUUUGCAUGUUGUCUAGAGGACUUUGGUUGAGUUCAGAGCUGAGCACACUUGCCUUCAGACUCUCCUGGGACUCCCAGUUCUCAUCCAUAUGAGCAAGGGCUUCAUGUUACUGGCCGUGGCCCUGUGCUGAGUCCUCCUCCCGCCCAUGGCCCUCUCCUCCUGGCCAGUGGUCCUCCGCCUGAACAUGGCCGACUUUGUCUUCAGUUUCCUCUGCCUCGGCAUUGGGCUCCUGAUUUCUCUUCAGCCUGACGCUCUUUUCAGUUAACGGCAAGGCGGUGCACCCAAGUCCGGUGGUGUCCUACCUGGUGACCUCCUACCUGUGCUGGGACGCCAGCGACUUGAUGCUGCACUCCGCAGGGCGCAGCGAGGCGGACAUCCAAACAGCGGAACUCAGACGCUGACUCCGAGCGCACCCCGGGCCUUCCCAUUUCAUACACCCUCGAGGAUGAGACCCAAGCACCUCCAAGGAAUAGCACCCGAGGUCUUCAGGACACCGACCGGUAGCCAUGGCCAGAUGCCCGGCCAACCCCUUCAGCGUGGCCACGCCCUGGAUAUUCGACCUCCCCUGAGGCCCCACCCCCUGAUAUCAGGCCACGCCCUCCGAGGGGACCGGUGGCAAACUCCAGCCCUCGCUCUAGGGCCCGCCCUUUGCGGCUUUGUCCCUGCCCACUGGGUCCUCACAGUACCUCCACCCCAGAGGCCCAGCAUCCCCUCCCGUUCUGCAGACACUUGUCCAGCGUCCCGCUGAGCUCGGCAGUGUGGCUAGUUUGUGUGGCCCUGCCCCUGGUGCCCAGCCAGGGUGGUCUGCAUGGAACUUCUUUCCCGGAGUUCCGGCCUCAGCUCCGAUGUCCACCCUUGUCCCCAGGUGGACACAGCACCGCCCAGCAUUUGGUGCAACUCCACCCUUCUGCAGAACGGGCCCCUCCCUGGGAAGGCAUGGCUUGCAAUAACAUCCCUCUGUACCUUUUCUGGCUUCCCCGCCACAAUAAAACCUCUCAGCCUCAGACCUUCCAUUGCCCCCCACCUCCCCACCAGGGCAGGGUCCAUCCUAGUGUGAGUGAACUGUUCUGGCGUCCCUGACUUGCCCUUUGGGA